rnacentral:rRNA from 1 species
GAGUUUGAUCGUGGCUCAGAUUGAACGCUGGCGGCAUGCCUUACACAUGCAAGUCGAACGGCAGCAUGAUCUAGCUUGCUAGAUUGAUGGCGAGUGGCGAACGGGUGAGUAAUACAUCGGAACGUGCCCUGUAGUGGGGGAUAACUAGUCGAAAGAUUAGCUAAUACCGCAUACGACCUGAGGGUGAAAGUGGGGGACCGCAAGGCCUCAUGCUAUAGGAGCGGCCGAUGUCUGAUUAGCUAGUUGUGGGGUAAAGGCCCACCAAGGCGACGAUCAGUAGCUGGUCUGAGAGGACGAUCAGCCACACUGGGACUGAGACACGGCCCAGACUCCUACGGGAGGCAGCAGUGGGGAAUUUUGGACAAUGGGCGAAAGCCUGAUCCAGCAAUGCCGUGUGUGUGAAGAAGG